GUGUCAGCAGCCGCGGUAAUACAGAGGGUGCAAGCGUUAAUCGGAAUUACUGGGCGUAAAGCGUGCGUAGACGGUUAUUUAAGUCAGGUGUGAAAGCCCAGGGCUCAACCUUGGAAUUGCAUUUGAGACUGAAUAGCUAGGGUGCGGAAGAGGGAAGCGGAAUUUCCGGUGUAGCGGUGAAAUGCGUAGAUAUCGGAAGGAACACCAGUGGCGAAAGCGGCUUCCUGGUCCAGCACCGACGUUCAGGCACGAAAGCGUGGGGAGCAAACAGGAUUAGAUACCCGGGUAGUCC
rnacentral:rRNA from 1 species